GACGAACGCUGGCGGCGUGCUUAACACAUGCAGGUCGAACGGAAAGGCCCUGCUUUUGUGGGGUGCUCGAGUGGCGAACGGGUGAGUAACACGUGAGUAACCUGCCCUUGACUUUGGGAUAACUUCAGGAAACUGGGGCUAAUACCGGAUAGGAGCUCCUGCUGCAUGGUGGGGGUUGGAAAGUUUCGGCGGUUGGGGAUGGACUCGCGGCUUAUCAGCUUGUUGGUGGGGUAGUGGCUUACCAAGGCUUUGACGGGUAGCCGGCCUGAGAGGGUGACCGGCCACAUUGGGACUGAGAUACGGCCCAGACUCCUACGGGAGGCAGCAGUGGGGAAUAUUGCACAAUGGGCGGAAGCCUGAUGCAGCAACGCCGCGUGCGGGAUGACGGCCUUCGGGUUGUAAACCGCUUUCGCCUGUGACGAAGCGUGAGUGACGGUAAUGGGUAAAGAAGCACCGGCUAAGUACGUG
rnacentral:rRNA from 1 species